GACCUCGGAUCAGGUAGGGAUACCCGCUGAACUUAAGCAUAUCAAUAAGCGGAGGAAAAGAAACCAACAGGGAUUGCCCUAGUAACGGCGAGUGAAGCGGCAACAGCUCAAAUUUGAAAUCUGGCCCUUUCAGGGUCCGAGUUGUAAUUUGUAGAGGAUGCUUUUGGGCAGCCACCGGUCUAAGUUCCUUGGAAC
rnacentral:rRNA from 1 species